rnacentral:rRNA from 1 species
UAAUACGUAGGGGGCAAGCGUUGUCCGGAUUUACUGGGCGUAAAGCGCGUGUAGGUGGAGGCUUAAGCGUGCCUUGAAAGCCCCCGGCUCAACCGGGGAAGGUGGGUGCGAACUGGGUCUCUUGAGGGCGAUAGAGGGGGGCGGAAUUCCUGGUGUAGCGGUGAAAUGCGUAGAGAUCAGGAGGAACACCCGUGGCGAAGGCGGCCCCCUGGGUCGGCCCUGACACUGAGACGCGAAAGCGUGGGGAGCGAACGGGAUUAGAUACCCCGGUAGUCCACGCCGUAAACGAUGAUCACUAGGUGUGUGCGGUAUCGACCCCGCACGUGCCGCAGCUAACGCAAGAAGUGAUCCGCCUGGGGAGUACGGCCGCAAGGUUG